AGGAUGUUGGAUUGAGGGGCAGGACGUCAAGCCUGUUAAAUAUUGACUGGGAGUGUAAUAAUUAACCUGGCUCCAACUCCUGAUCUUUAUUAAACUGGGCACUCUCUCUGCCAUUGCAUUGCUGACAAAUGCACCCUUAACUCCUUCUCCUUUGUUAGUUUCCUCUCACUGAGUCUGCCUUUGUCUUUGCUCAUCGCUGUUCUGUCUUCUAACUUUUCUGACUUUUCUGCUACAUCCGACCGGUCUUCCAUUAUUUCUGUCUUUCUAUCCUCGCACCCCUCAAAAGCUGCCGCUCCCAAACCUUUGGCCUCGUCCUGUGAAGGCCACUGGGCUGGCUGCAGGUGUAGCCCUGGAAAUAAUCAGAUUUCAUGUAAACAAUACGGUAUGGGGUAAGUAGAGCUGGGACAGGGUAAGUUAACCCGCCUACAAAUGUCUGUACUGAAUGAAAUACAACCACUACCUUACUAAAACCAUUUCAAUCUUUAUUCCCCAAACACUUUUUGGGAUUUUAAUCAUCUGAAGCAUCUUUUAACACAAGCUUAACACCUAACAAACAAUUUGUACUUAAAAAAACAACAACUUUAAAAUAGGCCAGGCGCUGUUGUUACCUCAUAUUCCAGCGGUAAUGCCUUGCAUUACGCCUGGGAAGAAAACACUUACAUUUGCUCAACUUGCCAUUGGCUCAACUUAUGAUGACUUCUUCCUAAAUAUUUACUGAAAUUAUACAUUUUGUGUUUCCUAAAAACAAGGUUGGCUCAACUUACCCCUUUGGCUCAACUUACUCACUCUCCUCUACUGCUCUGUGGUAUGUUUGUCUGUCUGAAUGUGUUAGCUCAUAUUCAAGACAAACUUCCUACGCUGUACAUUCAUAAGACCUGUUAUUUAGGGAGAAUAAUCUUAAAAACAUAAAACUGAGAAUCUCAUGUUUGCAUGCACAAAAGCAUGUAAGGUGGCGACCCAUUAGUCCAAUGCCAUGUCAACCACUGUUCCUGAGAUAAACUCUCAGCAUCAGUGGGGAAGACAAUCACUUUGCCUUAAAAGGGAAAACAUAACAUUAUCUUACAAACCUCAGUGCAAGAUUUUUCUGGUUCCAGUUUCAAAGGCAUGUUUCAACUGCUGUCCUAACAAGAGGCUGUUUAAAUAAGGGUACAAGUUUCGCCACAUAAGCCUACAAACAUAAUCAACAUUAUUUGACAUUCCACUGUUAUAUGCAGUGACAGCUGGAGUAGAUCAGCAUUUUAGGGAACACAUAUUGCUUAAAAUCCACUCCUUACAAAGAUAGUAUUUUGAGACAUAUAUUUAACAGAUUUAAUUACAUUUCCAUCAUUCAAUGUCUGUAUGUGUGUGUGUGUGACAGAAGGCAGGAGAAUGUCAUGCAAUAUAUUCUAAAUGAUGUAUUUCAAAGAAUUUGAACUAACCCUAACUCAAGCAUGUUUGGCUUUUGCUCAGAGUUUUUGUUAACCAAGGUGAAAAAAAGUAGGUGAGCAGUGUUUGAAUUCAAAUAAGUGUGCUUGGGUACUUUGCAAACCUUCACAUAUCAUUUAAAUAAUGAAUUAUUAGGGAAACUUGUUAUAUUUUGUAUAACAAGAACUGUCUCAUUGUGUUUGUCACUGUUGAUACAGUCUGCUGUUAUAUAGUGGUCAGAGUUAAAACAUGAAGACCACCUGCCAAAGUUGUUAAUAUGAAAUAAUAAUACACCGUUUAUCAGACACUUUUAUCCAAAGUGACCCAGGGUCAUGCGUGCAUACAUUUUACAUCCUCAAAGGGAAUCAAACCCAUGACCUUUGGCAUUGUAAGCACCAUGUUCUACCACCUGAGUCACACAGCCAACACACAACAAUUAAAUUGACCAGAGAUAGAAAAUAUGAAAAGGGCAGUGUUUGGGAGUGUGCCUGACAACAAGGGCGACUGAGUCAGACACGGGGCAACUGGGUCAGUGCCACCCAUUUUUAAUUGCUUUAUUGUUUUGUUUUUCCCAAGAUAGAGAGGUUUACUGCGAGGCAAAGUCUACAGAGAUAUCAAAGGAGGACAGGGACUGCUAAGCAUGAUAGGGGUCAGAAAUAAAAUAAAGAAAUGAGUAACAAUCUUUCAUCAGGGAUAAAUACCAGUAUACCAAACACUAGAUACAUUUUAUGGUAAAAUAGUACGAGAAAAAGGGAACAUAGUUGAGAAGGCAGACGCCCAUUAUGCUCAGCUUGUGUUCACAAUCCACAAUACAUCCUUAUAUUGAGAGCCACCAUAAAAAACCUGUUAUCUAGACAGAAUGGCCAAAGGGCCAAGGUCUAUUAGAACAUUGUGUGCUAUGAUGGCGUGUAUAGCCGGUCAUAAAGAUGGGGGGGUUAAAGUCAGUUGCUAUCGAAGGCUCCUCACAUGUAACUUAACCCCACCAUUCCCUGUCAUUGACCUUAUAUGUACUUCUGUUUCAGGUGAUUCCAAGUGAGACAUCAUACACAAACCAGAAACAACUGAAGGUGCGACCUCAAUCUAUGGGCCUAGCUACAUUAGCUUUGUAGCAAUGAAGUAUUAUCUCUGUCCUGUAGGAGGCAGUGUGCUAUGGACAGCUUGUGGACAAAACUGGUGCUUGCUGGCUGUAACAGCAACUCCAUGUGGAAGUUGCCUGUGUUCCAGUGGAGAUGCUGUUACCUGCAGAGAGUUACCCCCAGCCAGCUCUGAAUAAAUCAAUGUGAAGAAUAUCACUGUCCUUGUUUAUGGCCAUUUCAUUCCCGUUAUGAUGUUUCUCCUCUUUUGGUUGAACUCAUUUACAUUUGCUCUACCCACAUUGUGAUGCAUUUUGUAAUGAGAUGUAUUGUUAAGAACAGUCUCUAGAUCAUUCGACAGAUAUCAGCUCCUUGUUCUCUAUAACAACAUCAGGUGAAGGUAUUUAUGCACUCCAAACGUUGGUUUGAAUGCAGAGUCGGGCUAAGAGAAGAAUGGGACGCAUGGUGAUGACCUAUGAAUUGACAGCCAGUGUUUUGCAACACGACUGCCUGUCAGUUAUGUAGGCCACUGCCGUGUCUGUCCUACUGAGCACACACAGGUGAAGAUAGAGAAGCUCAUUGAUAUGUUUGAUAAAUGAUCAGAAAACUAUUAUGUAUUCAUGAGACCACUGAUAAUAUCCUGUAUAGUGUACAUUUGUAAGUUACUUGAAGCCAAUACGUUUUUGUUUGUUGCAAACCUUGGAAAUAAAUAUUGAAAACAU